UACGAAGGGGGCUAGCGUUGCUCGGAAUCACUGGGCGUAAAGCGCACGUAGGCGGAUCUUUAAGUCAGGGGUGAAAUCCUGGAGCUCAACUCCAGAACUGCCUUUGAUACUGGGGAUCUCGAGUCCGGAAGAGGUGAGUUGAACUCCGAGUGUAGAGGUGAAAUUCGUAGAUAUUCGGAAGAACACCAGUGGCGAAGGCGGCUCACUGGUCCGAUACUGACGCUGAGGCACGAAAGCGUGGGGAGCAAACAGG
rnacentral:rRNA from 1 species